rnacentral:rRNA from 1 species
GAUGAACGCUGACAGAAUGCUUAACACAUGCAAGUCUACUUGAACUUCGGUUUGGGUGGCGGACGGGUGAGUAACGCGUAAAGAACUUGCCUCACAGAUAGGGACAACAUUUGGAAACGAAUGCUAAUACCUGAUAUUAUGAUUUUAGGGCAUCCUAGAAUUAUGAAAGCUAUAUGCACUGUGAGAGAGCUUUGCGUCCCAUUAGCUAGUUGGAGAGGAAACGGCUCACCAAGGCGAUGAUGGGUAGCCGGCCUGAGAGGGUGAUCGGCCACAAGGGGACUGAGACACGGCCCUUACUCCUACGGGAGGCAGCAGUGGGGAAUAUUGGACAAUGGACCAAGAGUCUGAUCCAGCAAUUCUGUGUGCACGAUGAAGUUUUUCGGAAUGUAAAGUGCUUUCAGUUGGGAAGAAAAAAAUGACGGUACCAACAGAAGAAGUGACGGCUAAAUACGUG